UUCGCAAUGCCCGAAAGGGUGACGAAGCGACGCCGCGUGUGGGAAGAAGGCCUUCGGAUUGUAAACCACUGUCGGGAGUUAAGAAAUGCAGAGGCGUUAAUAGCGUCUCUGCUUGACUAAGGCUCCGGAGGAAGCCACGGCUAACUCUGUGCCAGCAGCCGCGGUAAUACAGAGGCGGCAAGCGUUGUUCGGAAUUAUUGGGCGUAAAGAGCACGUAGGCGGCUGUGUAAGUCGGUUGUGAAAGCCUUCCGCUCAACGGAAGAACAGCAGCCGAUUCUGCAUGGCUUGAGUGCGGGAGGGGAGAGUGGAACUUCUGGUGGAGCGGUGAGAUGCGUAGAUAUCAGAAGGAACGCCGGCGGCGAAAGCGGCUCUCUGGACCGUAACUGACGCUGAGUGUGCGAAAGCUAGGGGAGCAAACGGGAUUAGAUACCCCGGUAGUCCUAGCCGUAAACGAUGGGCACUAAGUAGAGGGGUUUU
rnacentral:rRNA from 1 species